rnacentral:tRNA from 1 species
CCUUCGAUAGCUCAGCUGGUAGAGCGGAGGACUGUAGAGGUUGUCACCUGUAGUCAUCCUUAGGUCGCUGGUUCGAUUCCGGCUCGAAGGA